CCUGAACAUGCUGUAGUUAUAUUUUUGUAUGUUUUUCAAAAUAGAGAUAAAUGUUAGAGUAUUUUAUGUAAGGUUUAUAAAGAAGAGAGUUUUAUUCUGAUUAUUGUAAUAAGUUCUUAUGAACUAUUUUUGCACCGACGUUGCGCACCUUUUCACAGUAAUUGGGCUGUUAUGACGUCAUUUGAUCAGACGUUUAGUGCAAAGAUAUGUACCUUAUAAGGAAGUUUCCUUAUUAGGUCAUUGAUUUCACCCAUAUUUGGAAUUUCUCUCACGCGAAAUAACAACACUAGCGUAAGAUUUGAUAGUAUUUUACGUCAGUUCCAGCUUGUCCCUACCGCCGGCUAGCAGCUUUAUUUACGUGUCUCAUAAAUUUCAAGGUACAGUUUUUCUAAAGCAGCAGUUUAAGUUCCAGAAUGUUGCAAUAUAUAUGCAAUAUAAUUAUUUAUGCAGUUCAUUUAAUUGUUCCGGUUUCCAGUUUUUAACGGAGGC
rnacentral:lncRNA from 1 species